rnacentral:rRNA from 1 species
AACGAACGCUGGCGGCAUGCCUAACACAUGCAAGUCGAACGAGAACUUCGGGUCUAGUGGCGCACGGGGGCGUAACGCGGGGGAACCUGCCCUUAGGUUCGGAAUAACUCCCCGAAAGGGGUGCUAAUACCGGAGAAUGUCUUCGGACCAAAGAUUUAUCGCCUUUGGAUGGGGCCGGGUUGGAUUAGCUAGUUGGUAGGGUAAAAGCCGACCAAGGCGACGAUCCAUAGCUGGUCUGAGAGGAUGCUCCGCCACGCUGGGACUGAGACACGGCCCACACUCCUACGGGAGGCAGCAGUGUGGAAUAUUGUACAAUGGGCGAAAGCCUGAUCCAGCCAUGCCGCGUGAGUGAUGAAUGCCUUAGUGUUGUAAAUCUCUUUUACCCGGGAUGAUAAUGACAGUACCGGGAGAAUAAGCUCCGGCUAACUCCGUG